GAUGAACGCUGGCGGCGUGCUUAACACAUGCAAGUCGAACGAAGCAUUUAGAACAGAUUACUUCGGUUUGAAGUUCUUUAUGACUGAGUGGCGGACGGGUGAGUAACGCGUGGGUAACCUGCCUUGUACUGGGGGAUAGCAGCUGGAAACGGCUGGUAAUACCGCAUAAGCGCACAAUGUUGCAUGACAUGGUGUGAAAAACUCCGGUGGUAUAAGAUGGACCCGCGUCUGAUUAGCUAGUUGGUGAGAUAACAGCCCACCAAGGCGACGAUCAGUAGCCGACCUGAGAGGGUGACCGGCCACAGUGGGACUGAGACACGGCCCAGACUCCUACGGGAGGCAGCAGUGGGGAAUAUUGCACAAUGGAGGAAACUCUGAUGCAGCGACGCCGCGUGAGUGAAGAAGUAAUUCGUUAUGUAAAGCUCUAUCAGCAGGGAAGAUAGUGACGGUACCUGACUAAGAAGCUCCGGCUAAAUACGUG
rnacentral:rRNA from 1 species